rnacentral:rRNA from 1 species
AUGAACGCUGGCGGUAUGCUUAACACAUGCAAGUCGAACGGACUCUUCGGAGUUAGUGGCGGACGGGUGAGUAACGCGUGAGAAUCUGGCUUUGGGUUCGGGACAACCACUGGAAACGGUGGCUAAUACCGGGUGUGCCGAGAGGUAAAAGAGAAAUUGCCUGAAGAUGAGCUCGCGUCUGAUUAGCUAGUUGGUGAGGUAAAGGCUCACCAAGGCAGCGAUCAGUAGCUGGUCUGAGAGGAUGACCAGCCACACUGGGACUGAGACACGGCCCAGACUCCUACGGGAGGCAGCAGUGGGGAAUUUUCCGCAAUGGGCGAAAGCCUGACGGAGCAAUACCGCGUGAGGGAAGAAGGCUCUUGGGUUGUAAACCUCUUUUCUUAGGGAAGAACAAAAUGACGGUACCUAAGGAAUCAGCAUCGGCUAACUCCGUG